AACGAACGCUGGCGGCAUGCCUAACACAUGCAAGUCGAACGAGAUCUUCGGGUCUAGUGGCGCACGGGUGCGUAACGCGUGGGAAUCUGCCCUUUGGUUCGGAAUAGCAGUUGGAAACGACUGCUAAUACCGGAUGAUGACGAAAGUCCAAAGAUUUAUCGCCAGAGGAUGAGCCCGCGUAGGAUUAGCUAGUUGGUGUGGUAAAGGCGCACCAAGGCGACGAUCCUUAGCUGGUCUGAGAGGAUGAUCAGCCACACUGGGACUGAGACACGGCCCAGACUCCUACGGGAGGCAGCAGUGGGGAAUAUUGGACAAUGGGCGAAAGCCUGAUCCAGCAGUGCCGCGUGAGUGAUGAAGGCCUUAGGGCUGUAAAGCUCUUUUACCCGGGAUGAUAAUGACAGUACCGGGAGAAUAAGCUCCGGCUAACUCCGUGCCAGCCGCCGCCGUAA
rnacentral:rRNA from 1 species